CUUCUCCCUUUCUAGAGUUUCGAAGGUCAAGCGAACAGCGAUGCCAACACGCUUCUGGGGAAGGAGAGACCUGCUGAAUGCCUGACUAGAUAAAAAUGCAAAUGGGUGACUAUCCAGGCUCCUUGUGACGGCGCCUGAGGGAGGCCCUUCCCGCAGACCCGUCAUUUCAUCUCCCAAGUAUUCCAGUCGACUCCAGAACCCACUGGUCUCC